CCGUUGCCAAUGAAUAAAAUAUUUUUGCGUCCUAGGUCAAAAUUAAGGACAUUUUCUUGAUGGUUUCCCCAUCUCUUUAGAGUGCUCCAAGCCUCAUCGCUGCUGCAACAAAACUUCUCAACUAGCUUUGUUAUUAAGCCAUAUUUUAGUUCAUUAGAACUAGAACUGAUGAAGCUAUCCGCAGCCACUGAAGCAUGAGUUCGAUCCCCGGCCAGGGAGCAGCCCACAUGGCGCGGCAGACCUCUCCUGACUCGUCCGCUGCUCCCCUCAGCAGUGUAUUUCGGUCAGUCUGCCUGUUCUGUUCCCCGCUCUGUCUCUGGUGAAUUCUCUAAACCCCCCCCAAUCUCUGGCCUGUACCCCAGUUCUCGUAUGCAUAAAUAAAUCUUAAAAAAAAAAAAAGAACUAGAACUGACAGAAAACAAAAAUGAAUUGAUUGACAUUAUCCUUGCCUGUUUGGCCUUUGUUGAGGGUGUGGUCUGUCUAAGGUAAAGGUAAAUUGGCCUCACUCUAAUAUUUGUCAGAAUACUUUGUUUCCUGAAUAUUCAUUAGGGGAAAACCUGCCCAAGGUCCCAGCCAUUGAUCAAAAGCAGCCAGAGCAGAGAGACCUGGCAUGCAUGCUGCAAUAAACCCUAAGGAGGGGCAGUCCAGAGCCAUCAGCUCUCACCAGGAAGUUCGCUCUUGGAUGGCCACCCAGGGGGGAUGCCUCUGCACUAACCAAGCCCUGAGUCUACAUAGGGAAGGGACCAAGAGUGAGAGAAGCGAGUAACCAGCACAGGUUUUAGGGGGAGAUAGACCCUGUCUGUUCUAUAAAUUCUUUUUUUUUUUCCUCUGAUACUUAGUGUUAGCAUUGUUAGUACUGUUAGUGUGGUUAGCAUAUUUAGAUAAUGAUUGUUAAUUAGCAUUUAGUUAGCAUUGUACUUUCUGUUAGCAUAGAUACUAAGCGUAGUUAGCUUUGUUAGUAUUAGUGUAGUUAGGAGGGCCCCAACUCCUAUGGUCACCUCUGUUGCUGAAGAGACUCAGAUCAGCAAUUUACAUGAUUCUCAGGUGAGGGAGCCUUUGCCACGGUGAAUUCCAGCGCAGAGGUGGCCAUGAAGAUUAUCAAGAAGACGCUGAGCUCCUGCGCAGCCCACAGUAUGAAGGCCUGGAGCCACCGCUCGUGGUGACUGACAAGGGAAGUGCCCAUGCUCGCUGUGGAGCAUAAGAAAGGGGCAGACUUGCAUGAUUAUCUCCAGGACCACUGCCUGGUAGAAAAUAAGACCCGAGGCAAGUUUGAAUAAAUCAUGUCAGCCUUGAGGUACUGCCAUCAGAAAGGUAUAGCACAGCGGGACUUGAAACCAGAGAACCUCCUUGUUGAUAGCAGAACAUAAAACCAGCAGACUGUGGCUUGAGUAUAGUAUAGUAUUUACUGACCCAAAACUGAACACCUAUGGUGGUAGCCCGGAUAAGCUGCCCCCGAACCCUCCCGACGGCAAUGUUAGGACGGCCCCACAGCAGACACUUGCAGCUGGUGGGCGUCACUGGGACCCUGCCUUUUGUAGGAGAGGAUUUCUGUAAGUUGCGGCAGUGUGCACUCAGUGGACAGUUCCACAUCCCCUCUCGUCACCCGAAUGUGAAAAUCUGUUGAAAAAAUGAUGACCUUUAACCCCAGAGACAGGGAAAACAGAAGACAUACGAUACCUCAGUAAACAUGAAAGAACUCGUGUCUUUUCUGAGUCAUCCCGUCACAGCUAUCCCAGGGGACAAGGACAUGAGAGUCAUGGGGUGUAAAGGAACCAAAUCCACAAAUCAGUGGCAGCGAGAUGGUUUGACGAUGUUAUGGCAUCGUAUCUUACCUUGAGAGCCCAGAAGCAUAAGGUGGAGGGCUGUGCCAUCUUGGGGAGGCUCUCCCCACCCUGCCCCCACUGCUCCCCGAUAGCCACAAUCCUUCCCCAGCCCGCCCUUCAGCUGAAGGUCUGGGCAGACAGCAACCCCUAUGUGCGAGCCUGUCCUCCUGGCAUUUUGUUGUGGCCCAGGCUCAGGGCCCAAGGCCAGCAGUAGAAACACAGUCUGCGAGUCUCCCAGCCAUCCUGGAGCCAAGGACCACCACCUCCAGCCCUGCCUCUAGCACCACCAGGACCCCAUCCACCUCCUCCACCCGUGCCACAUGCAGCGAUGCAAUAGCCCCAGAGGAGACCAGCAACCAUGAUGAAAAUCCUCUACGCUUACAAACCUGCCUGCCUCCAGCCUCUCCCUCUGGUCACAGCCAAGGCUGUGGGACAGCUAGGACGUUCCUGGACUUUGACUUAAGAACUUUUUGUUGUAUACCACCCUGUAAAAACACAAACGGCAGUAACAGAAUCCACCACUAUAAGGACUAUGAGAAUACUUGCUUUGGAGCCUUCCAGCAGUCCUCUCCCAUGAGUGGCAGCCCCGUGACCAUGGUGUACAGGACAAGGUGACAGCGUGGCUUGGCACAGUGCUGGCAGCUCAGGCUGAGACCAGGUCGCAGGGGAGCCGAACUGCCUCUGCUCCCCUCUAAGGGAAUCUAGUCAAGAGGGAGCCCCCACCUCCAUGGCCUUCAGAACAUCGUGUCCAAGAUACCUGUGGCUUGGAGCAGUCCCUCUGAGAGCGCUGAUGGAGCUGCCGUUCCCAGGGAGCAAACAGUUUUCUGGGGUCCAGAGGAGGAGGAUUUAUGACAGAAGAGGACUGGACCAGGACAAUUAGCCACAUUCAGCUGGGAAGCGGGCAAACAAAUCACCUCUGAUUGCUCAAGUCUUUGACCCCACCAGAGCCUUGCCAAGAGAGGACAGCUCCAGUUUCUAAAGUCCUAAUGCCCCCGCCCCCUGGCAGCCCUGGGAAAAUAAACCAUUUGAAAAAGAAAUCUCACUAAUUCUGGGUUUGGAUGGUUGCCAGUUCCUCACCAGAAGGGGAAGCACAUCCCUGUAAACACUUCUGUCCUCUAGACCUCCCGGCCCUAGUUCAAGCCGAAGCAUGGCCUCAUUCUUGUCUUCCUAUUUAGUUUUCCUUCUUUACUCUCCUUUUUUUGUGCUUAAGAAAUACCUAAAUGGGGUCCUCCCUGAUGGCGCAAGGGGUUAAGCACCGCACUAUGAAGGAAUCUGAAGCCUCUGCAGCACGAGUUCAAUCCCCGGCCGGCCAGGGAGCAACCCACAUGGCACAGCAGACCUCUCCUGUUUCGCCUGCUGCUCCCUCAGCACUAUUAGUAGAUCCUCCUGUUCUGUUUCCCACUCUGUCUCUGGUGAAUCCUCUCACCCCCCGCAUCUCUGGCCUGUACCCCAGCUCUUGUAUGCAUAAAUCUUUAAAAAAAAAAAACUAAAUGGCUAAAAUACAGACCAAUCUUAAAUGGG